UGGGGAAUUUUGGACAAUGGGCGAAAGCCUGAUCCAGCAAUGCCGCGUGUGUGAAGAAGGCCUUCGGGUUGUAAAGCACUUUUGUCCGGAAAGAAAUCCUUGGCUCUAAUACAGUCGGGGGAUGACGGUACCGGAAGAAUAAGCACCGGCUAACUACGUGCCAGCAGCCGCGGUAAUACGUAGGGUGCAAGCGUUAAUCGGAAUUACUGGGCGUAAAGCGUGCGCAGGCGGUUUGCUAAGACCGAUGUGAAAUCCCCGGGCUCAACCUGGGAACUGCAUUGGUGACUGGCAGGCUAGAGUAUGGCAGAGGGGGGUAGAAUUCCACGUGUAGCAGUGAAAAUGCGUAGAGAUGUGGAGGAAUACCGAUGGCGAAAGGCAGCCCCCUGGGCCAAUACUGACGCUCAUGCACGAAAAGCGUGGGGAGCAAAACAGGAUUAGAUACCCUGGUAGUCCACGCCCUAAAACGAUGUCAACUAGUUGUUGGGGAUUCAUUUCCUUAGUAACGUAAGCUAAACGCGUGAAAGUUGACCGCCUGGGGGAGUACGGUCGC
rnacentral:rRNA from 1 species